rnacentral:sRNA from 1 species
GCUGGGUGUGGUGGUGCACGCCUAUAAUCCCAGCAGCUUGGGAGGCUGAGGCAGGAGGAUCACAGCUUCAAAGUCAGCCUCACCAACUCAGUAAGACCCUGUCUCAA